GUAUGAUUCUAUACCUUCGAAUUAGUAGAGAUUUAUAAAAAAAAGUUAGUGCAGAAACGAUCUUGACCUUAAAAUUCAAGAUAACAAUUUUUUAUUGUGAAAGAAUUCUACUUAUCACGAAAAACAAAUGUUUCAAAUGUCGCAAUGGAAAAAAAUUUUAAUGAUUCUUAAACUGGUUUUAUUCACGAUAUAUUUAUAUUUAUGUAUUUAUAUCUUACAUUUGUGUUCAUAUCUACACUUUACAUUUAGUAAAAGAAAUUAUAGAGACACAUAUAAGAAUACAGGAAUAAUAGAAGACUUUUGUGUACAGAAAAGAUUCCGCGACAAUACGAUUUUCAACGACUUAGUUAACAAUUUGAUGACCAAGAAUUAAUAUUGUGACAUUUAAAUCCAUAUCAAAGAUCAAAUUGGCGCCGCAUUCAUAAAAAGGAACAGCUACGAUUACGAAUAUAGAAUAAUCAUUGGUGGAAAGGGAGUCGGAGAGGAAUACAUCGAAUUAAAUGUGUAUUAUCUAGGUGAAGAAUUAUACAUAAUUUUGGUAAAAAACUUGACUGAAAUAUGAAAUGCGAGUUCAAGAUUGUUCAAAUACCAAGAAAAGAAAAUACAAAGAAAAAAGAAACUAGGAGAGGACGAUAUGCAAUAUAUAAUGAUAGAUUUGGGCUACUAAGCUGUAUCAAUAGAUGCUACUUUAUUUUACAUCUGAUUGGAGAAUAUAAAGAUGUUGUGAAUAAAGCCAUUGUAACUUUAACAUUUUUCUUCCACGAAAGAAUGUCAUUUGUGACUUUGAAACAUUUGUCCUUCAUGAUGGCUAAAAUUUUUUCGCAAUAAAAAAUUUGAUCUUGAAAUUCAA